CCGCGCCGCUGCGGGAGGCGCGAGGGAGGAGCGGCCGCGCAGCCAGGCGGGGGCCGGCCAGAGCCGCCGGGGAGGGUUUGCCGAUCUGCAGCCAGCCAUCAGAAACAGAUCAUUUUGUCCAGGUGAAAAGAAAGAGCAGAGAUGAAACUGUCCUACAGUUGGAUGGUCCUAUUAUCUAUUUCAAAAAAUUGACAAGCUGAAAUAAAGGGUGAUUUAAUAUA